rnacentral:tRNA from 1 species
GCUAGGUUACCCAAGUGGCCAACGGGGGCAGACUGUAAAUCUGCUGGCACACGCCUACAUAGGUUCGAAUCCUAUACCUAGCA